GUGGUAAGCAGCAAAUGAGAGAACGCCUGUGAAAGUAGGGUUGAAACUGCGAGGGGCAACUGGAGUGCUGUGAUUCUAAUAUAAUAGAAUCUUUUCAUUAUAAUAGAAUUUUGCUGUGAUUCGAUGGAAGGACAGCAGUAGGAUGAUGCGAAAGGAAGUAGCUCUCCUCUCAGGCUGUGGUCAGAGUGCCCAGGGCUCGGUCUGCGCUGGGGUGAGACCACUGAGCUGAUUGUCACCAAUUGGGUGAAUGGAGAAGGCUACCCUGCAUCGCAGCCUUGAAGGCAGGCUCAACGUUCCAUAUGUGAACAUCCUGAUGGUCAGCCUUCUCCCAGGAAUUAGAUCUCUGAUGACAUAGGACAAUAGGAAGACUCUUCUUCCCCUUUUGCUUGGCAUCCGGCAAUGCAGUCAUGGAGGAAAGUUCACACGCUGUUUGGAAGUCAUUUCUGUUUAGCUCAUCAAUAGUUGCCUUAUAAAAACGAUUCCAUGCCUAAGAAGCAUUCUAAGCCUUUUUAAGCUCCAAAGAUUAGGGUGAAACAGGGAGGGGGUGGGAGGAAGACAGAUAAACAAAGGACCAGAGAGCAUUCUCUGUGCAGAGGAGUAGAUUCUGUCCUUUGGUUAGAUUAAUCCCCAAAUUGGAACUGGCCCUGAACAUUGUUCUGAGAAAGGAGAGCCCAGAUAAGAAAGGCCCCUCCACAAAGCCCCUGCAUCGAGCUGUUUGUGGAAAUGCGGACAGCGUCCUUUCCCUGCAGCCAGAGGACAGAAUGACAGGCCCGCAGAGGACAAACGGAGGGCCUGGUUUCCAACCCCAGGACCACAGCUCUCUCGGGAGAGUUCGGCUUUGGUUCUGAAGGACUCCGAGUUGACGCUUGAAGGCUGGAGAUUGUCAUCAGAGGGGCUAAUGGGACAUGAGAUCUGAGGUGGGUCCCAACAGGAUUAAUGCAGCUUGACUGCCUUAAUGCUCCAAGACAGUUGAGAGCUUCCAAGAUGACCGCGCUCAUUGGCAGGUGUUGGUGACUUAAAAUAAGUCAUGCAGGUUCAUUGUCACCCCCGUAAAGACUGAACUGCAACGUCUGCAGUUGUCCCGGUGGUCACCUCCACAUCCUCAAAUACUCUGCUUAUACCACCAUUUCUUGCUUUAUCGACCACGCACUUUGUCUACUGACCUUCUACUUGGAGAGACGAGGGUUUGGCUCACCAAGACACUCUCCCAUCUGUCCUCCUUCCUUCUUCCUGACAGGACUGAUGCACAGCUCCUAGUUCCUCUAUUGGUCAUCUUUGUCUAAAUGAUGCCUGCAAAUGCAUUGUUUAAACACAUGUACCAUCUACAUACCCGCACGUGUAUGAAUCUGCAUACUAUCAUGUCUUUCAUCAUUUCUCUUACCAUGUCUUC
rnacentral:lncRNA from 1 species